CUAGGUCUUUGAAACCAGAGCAGAGCAUGGGAUUUCCUAUGAUGGAUGUAAAUGGUAGUCCUGUAUAGUACCCAUCCUGGGACUACCUGGUUGCUGGAGCAUCUGAGCGUGGUGAAGCCACUUGCUGCAACAGGGCACUUAAGCACAGCCUGUAGAGCCACGUGUACCGAUCCAGUUGGUAAUUACUGGAGUCAUUUUCUCCAGUCUGGGAGUGAAGUGGUCACGGGAGUCACAUUCUGGGUGAGAAAGAAAAGCUUUGUACAGAGACGUGAGCUUUAAUCAGGGGACAGCAGACAAGCAUUUUAGAAAGUCUCCCCUUGCCUCGCGGUGAUGAAGAAUAAAUGACCCACCAGCAAAUGACUCCCUACGCUACUGCUACAGCUCCCUGGAAAUACCCACAAUGCUUCUGCCUGGAUUUCAAAGAUGGUCUGGGCCUCACUGUGGUCAUUAGUGCUGUAGGAAAAACAGCAGUCGAUCAAUGGAUUGACUCUGGGGAGAUGCUUCCGGGUUUCAUCGCUCUAAGCCACAGUUACAAGAUCAUUUCUACGAGAAAUAAAAUUACUGUGAAUAUUUCUGUACAAGCUUUUGUGUUGCAACAUGGUCCUGUGCCUCCUGGGAAAAGCAGAUAGAAAAACACGCAGCUUGCCUUUCUCCCACGGUUUCUACAGACAGCAUGGACUCCAACACAGCAGGUUAAAGAGUGUUGAUCUACAGAGCAAUUGGCAAGAGCAUUGGAUUUUCAUUGUUCUUGAUCUGAAAUGCCAAUGUAAGAUGCUCUCUGUUGGACUCAAUCGGCAGAAAACAUCCUGAGCAGGCAAUAUGUACACAGAGAAGGCAAACCAUGCUACGUGAUGGCUGUACUAGAGACUCCUGCCAGACCCUGGCAUACAGUAGCCACUCGAUGCUAAUUCUUCCCAAAGCGUCAUCUCUC
rnacentral:lncRNA from 1 species